CCAGGUGUGGAAUAAAAUUCUGCCUCCUUAAGCUCGUGUUUUCCAUGCCUAGAAUUCAACUGUCACCAGAUGGAUCAGACUGAACAGGUUUCAAACCUCCAGGAGGCUCUUACCUUCUAAACAGGGACGGCUGUUUUCUAGUAAAAUCACUAAAAGGGAAGGAGAAAACUCAAAAGAGGUUCCUCCUGGCGCUCACGUCCGUGAACCCGAAUACUCUCUCAGUCCUCAAAGAGAGACCUGGAGAAGGAGACUUGCUGAAGCAAAGCCACAGGGGUCUCUGAGGUUUCCCUGGCCCCUCACCCCUGUCCUGCCUGGCUGAUGUCAGCAUCUCUCUGUGAGGUCACCACCCCCCAUCACCUUGGACCAAUAGUCUGAGGUCCUGCAAAAGGCCUUUGUGAUGUCACUGCCACACCCCUCCCUUGAUGUGCCAAUAUCCUGCCCCUGG